AUACGGAGGGAGCGAGCGUUAAUCAGAAUUACUGGGCGUAAAGCGUGCGCAGGCGGUUUUGUAAGACAGGCGUGAAAUCCCCGGGCUCAACCUGGGAAUGGCGCUUGUGACUGCAAGGCUAGAGUGCGUCAGAGGGGGGUAGAAUUCCACGUGUAGCAGUGAAAUGCGUAGAGAUGUGGAGGAAUACCGAUGGCGAAGGCAGCCCCCUGGGACGAGACUGACGCUCAUGCACGAAAGCGUGGGGAGCAAACAGGAUUAGAAACCCCGGUAGUCC
rnacentral:rRNA from 1 species